GUCAAGGCUCUUUUCAGAGCUACCAAAUAUACUCAAAGAAGAAGGCU
rfam:Operophtera brumata OBRT01_Sc01854, whole genome shotgun sequence.